rnacentral:rRNA from 1 species
AUUGAACGCUGGCGGCAGGCUUAACACAUGCAAGUCGAGCGGAGCGAGGGUGCUUGCACCUUAGCUUAGCGGCGGACGGGUGAGUAAUGCUUAGGAAUCUGCCUAUUAGUGGGGGACAACAUUCCGAAAGGAAUGCUAAUACCGCAUACGCCCUACGGGGGAAAGCAGGGGAUCUUCGGACCUUGCGCUAAUAGAUGAGCCUAAGUCGGAUUAGCUAGUUGGGGGGGUAAAGGCCUACCAAGGCGACGAUCUGUAGCGGGUCUGAGAGGAUGAUCCGCCACACUGGGACUGAGACACGGCCCAGACCCCUACGGGAGGCAGCAGUGGGGAAUAUUGGACAAUGGGCGGAAGCCUGAUCCAGCCAUGCCGCGUGUGUGAAGAAGGCCUUUUGGUUGUAAAGCACUUUAAGCGAGGAGGAGGCUACUUAGAUAAUACUCUGGGAUAGUGGACGUUACUCGCAGAAUAAGCACCGGCUAACUCUGUGCCAGCCGCCGCGGUAAAAC